GGCUGAGUCAGCAGGGAGGGAUAAAGGCGGCGGGGCCGGCGGCGGGUGGGCGGCCAUGGAGCUGCCGGGGCUGGGGCGGCACUGCGCGGAGACAGCCUGCAGGAGGCUGGACUUCCUUCCUCUGAAAUGUGAUGCGUGUGGGGAGGUCUUCUGCAAAGACCAUAUCCGUUAUGAUGACCACAAGUGUGGCUCUGCCUACAAAAAAAAUGUGCAGGUUCCAGUGUGUCCACUCUGUAAUGCACCCAUCCCAGUACAGAAGGGGGAAAUACCAGAUGUUGUGGUUGGAGCCCACAUGGAUAAGGACUGCAAAUACAAUCCAGCACAGCAAAAGGAGAAGAUCUUCACAAACAAAUGCUUAAAGCCAGGCUGCAAAAGAAAAGAGAUGAUGAAGGUAGUUUGUGAACAGUGCAAUGGGAACUUCUGCAUAAAGCAUCGGCAUCCUCUGGACCAUGACUGUAAAGGGAGCAGCCACCCCAUCUCCAAGGCUGGGCAGACAUACCUUCCUUGCUCUGUGCAGUAGGAAUGUACGCAGCUCUGAUGAGAGCAUCUCAAACUGCCUUCAAGUCAACAGAAGCAAUUGCAGUGCCAUCUAAUGGGAACCGUCAGCACAACAGAUGCAGAUGAUAGAAGCUCUUCACACUGGAUCAAGCAUCUGCCUACUUCAGUUAAUCUUGUCUGAAGCUCUUUAAACUUUUUCUAUGCAAGUAACUUAUUUUUGUGUAUAAUCUCUUACGGAUUUAAUAAACUGUCACCCUUUCUAAGCCAA